rnacentral:rRNA from 1 species
UACGUAGGUGGCAAGCGUUGUCCGGAUUUACUGGGCGUAAAGAGCGCGCAGGCGGUCGUUCAAGUCGCGUGUGAAAGCCCCCGGCUCAACUGGGGAGGGUCACGCGAUACUGAUCGACUCGAAGGCAGGAGAGGGUAGUGGAAUUCCCGGUGUAGUGGUGAAAUGCGUAGAUAUCGGGAGGAACACCAGUGGCGAAGGCGACUACCUGGACCGGUUCUGACGCUGAGGCGCGAAAGCGUGGGUAGCAAACAGG